AGCCUGAUGCAGCGACGCCGCGUGAGGGAUGACGGCCUUCGGGUUGUAAACCUCUUUCAGCACAGACGAAGCGCAAGUGACGGUAUGUGCAGAAGAAGGACCGGCCAACUACGUGCCAGCAGCCGCGGUAAUACGUAGGGUCCGAGCGUUGUCCGGAAUUACUGGGCGUAAAGAGCUCGUAGGUGGUUUGUCGCGUUGUUCGUGAAAACUCACAGCUUAACUGUGGGCGUGCGGGCGAUACGGGCAGACUUGAGUACUGCAGGGGAGACUGGAAUUCCUGGUGUAGCGGUGGAAUGCGCAGAUAUCAGGAGGAACACCGGUGGCGAAGGCGGGUCUCUGGGCAGUAACUGACGCUGAGGAGCGAAAGCGUGGGGAGCGAACAGGAUUAGAUACCCUGGUAGUCCACGCCGUAAACGGUGGGUACUAGGUGUGGGUUUCCUUCCUUGGGAUCCGUGCCGUAGCUAACGCAUUAAGUACCCCGCCUGGGGAGUACGGCCGCAAGGCUAAAACUCAAAGAAAUUGACGGGGGCCCGCACAAGCGGCGGAGCAUGUGGAUUAAUUCGAUGCAACGCGAAGAACCUUACCUGGGUUUGACAUGCACAGGACGACUGCAGAGAUGUGGUUUCCCUUGUGGCC
rnacentral:rRNA from 1 species